UGGGGAAUCUCGCGCUAAUGCGGGAAACCGUGACGCAGCGACGCCGCGUGAGGGAAGAAGGCCUUCGGGUUGUAAAGCUCUGUUGAGGGAGAAGAAAACAGUUGGCGCGAAUAGCUCCAGCUCUUGACGGUAUCCCUUUAGAAAGCACCGGCUAACUCUGUGCCAGCAGCCGCGGUAAGACAGAGGGUGCAAACGUUGCUCGGAAUUACUGGGCGUAAAGCGCGUGUAGGCGGACCGAUAAGUCGGGCGUGAAAUCCCUGGGCUCAACCCAGGAACUGCACCUGAAACUGUUGGUCUUGAGUAGUGGAGAGGAAAGCAGAAUUCCUGGUGUAGAGGUGAAAUUCGUAGAUAUCAGGAGGAACACCGGUGGCGAAGGCGGCUUUCUGGACACUUACUGACGCUGAGACGCGAAAGCGUGGGGAGCAAACAG
rnacentral:rRNA from 1 species